GACGAACGCUGGCGGCGUGCUUAACACAUGCAAGUCGAACGGAAAGGCCCCCACCUUGGUGGGGGUGCUCGAGUGGCGAACGGGUGAGUAACACGUGGGUGAUCUGCCCUGUACUUCGGGAUAAGCUUGGGAAACUGGGUCUAAUACCGGAUAGGACCAUGGUUUAGUGUCUCAUGGUGGAAAAAUUAUUGUUUUGGUGCAGGAUGAGCUCGCGGCCUAUCAGCUUGUUGGUGGGGUAAUGGCCUACCAAGGCGUCGACGGGUAGCCGGCCUGAGAGGGUGGACGGCCACAUUGGGACUGAGAUACGGCCCAGACUCCUACGGGAGGCAGCAGUGGGGAAUAUUGCGCAAUGGGCGCAAGCCUGAUGCAGCGACGCCGCGUGGGGGAUGACGGCCUUCGGGUUGUAAACUCCUUUCGUUAGGGACGAAGCCACACCUUUUUGGGGUGUGGUGACGGUACCUUUGUUAAGAAGCACCGGCUAACUACGUG
rnacentral:rRNA from 1 species